UCACUGACGCAAUUGCGGGUGACGGCUCGGAGUGGGGCUGCGCAGAUGCGCUGUCCCUGUCGCUCCGUAAUGGCGCCUUGGGGCGUGGUUGCGGAUAAGAUGGCGCCUGCGGCGCGGGCCGUUGAGCCGGGAUGGGCGCCGGCAUGGUCUGCGGAAUCAGAACCUGCAACGGAGCCUGCUGAGGCAAAAUCGGUUGAAAAGACAUCGCUGCUGAGCCGUUUGCGGCUGUGGGGGCGGCUGCGGCUUAGACGGUAUCGGAGCCGCUGGCGGCAGAGCCGUCUGGGCUUGCGGCAGGGGCUGAGAAGGCAGAACAAUUAUCUGUGGAGAGAGCGGCGGCGGCAUGGGCUGAGACGUCCGCCGAAUUGAGGUCCGCGGCAGAGGGAAGGGUGCUGCCCUACGCGCGGCUGCGGGGACUGCGAUGGCGACAUUCGCAGCUGUAAUUCCUGAAAGGCUUGGAGAAACUUCCCCUCUAGCCUCUCCUCCAACUCCCGAAGUCGUUCAUCGGUUACCGCGGUGAAGUCUGAGGAAAGUAUUUCUACUCCCUCACCCUUCUUAAACCAGGAGCUUCCUCACAUCCCCUUGACCCACGGGGAACGGAAUGAAAACUCUGGUGGGAUAAUUCCUUCACAGACAUUCAUGGCUCCUUAGCCGCAGCACACAGGCUGCUGAACGGUGACAGCUCUAUCCGUGCCUGCAGCUGCCUUAACACCCGCAGUCCGAGGUACACACACGUUGUGGGAGCAAAGCAUGAUCUUUCUCAGUACACAUCGUUCAGAAUAGGAGAGCUUAAGAACAACUGGGUCACAUCUGACUGCUACCAUCUGUCCCACUUCACUCCAAGAUUACCCAGGAAUGUAUUUCACAUGUGCCUUUGGAACAAGCUUGUGAGCUGCCAAGAAGAGAAUAUUUUACAGCUGACUGUUGGGUUUCACUGUGAGCAGUUCAAACGCAACGACACAAGGAGGAGGAUUCCACCAGAGGGUAUCACAAAGGCCAUUUGGGCUCAGCCCCCUUUGUCUGCAGAAUUGUGUGAGAUGGGACUCCUUGUGGGUUGCUGGGUUGGGUUUAAGGGUCUGCAUUUGGGAAAGCAGCUUCCCCAUUGAAAGCCAUCUUUUAGCACAGAGGCCUGGGUAGGCAGCUGGCCUUGAGUUGAAAUGCAGUUCUGCCUUUCACAAGGAAGAUGACCUUGCACAAAUGGCACCUCAGGAGCACUGGUAGUGAGAACUGUGACUGGGUGAAGCCACCUCAAAUGAAGCCUAGAUACAUCAAAGUAUCACUACCUUCGUAAUGGGGGAACUUACCCCCAAAGAGCUUCACCCUUAUGUCUCAGUUUCUCUGCAUGUGGAAUGAGGACAUGUCACUUCUGUAAAACUGAGUGCUGCCCUGCCAGAAUGAUGCAUGCAUUUAGAUAAAGGUCAGCAUUGUUUAAUAGUACAUUUUAACACAUCUGAAAAUUGGUGCUGUGGUGGUGAUGGUCGUUGUUUGCAAAGAUGCACAAAUUUCUCCUUGGCCAACUGGCACCGGAAGCAGGAACUUACAUAUUGAAGAGGGACCUUGCUUUGUUCCAGGAAAAGCUAUUCACAGCAGCCUCCAUGGCACAGCUGUGGAUGCAGACAUCAGGCUGGAGAGGAGCUCCUUGACCAUGGAGCAGACCUACCUGUCCCUGUGCACCCACAGGACCCUGCUCAUCCACAAUGGCAGUGAUGUGAUGGCUCACUUACAGUGGAAGGCUUCUGCCCAUCAGGAGGAUGGGCAGCAGAAGCAGAGGUUGGUUGGAAAGCUGCACUGCAGGAAGAUCCCUGCCCAAGGGUGGCACUCAAGUGUGGCCUCAAGGGCCCCUGGUGCCUUGCAAUGGUUGAGGCCAGUAAACCAGUUGAGGCCAGUGGAGCCUCAUGAAAUCUUAACCACUACUCGUGCAGCCAGAGAGGCUCUCCGCACAACUUUUGCAGCUGUCACAAAGCCACCACCAUGGACCACCAUAAGACAAAGUGAAAAUGAAAGCUUCAAAAAAUUUGUGGAUCGCUUGCAAACUGCAAUCGAUUUCUCAGUCCUACCUGAAGAAGCAAAGAAUCAAACAAUGACAGAAUGCACACGGCAACAAUGUAAUUCAGCAACCGGAGAGAUACUGUGAACACUGCAAAGAGGAGCAAGCAUUGCAGACGUGAUCAGGCACGUUGUGAAAGAGGAGGACCUUCCAAUCCAAGAGGCUGUCCGCACUGCAAUGGCUAAGAUGCAAGAAACUGUGAAUGCUGUAUACACGCAGUAGCCAAUCCCCAGAAAAGGCACCAUAUCAGUCAUCCAUA